UUACCUUUCUAUCAUCUUGCAGUAUGGAUGUCUCUUGACUGGUACCAUGUAGACUUUUGAGGGCAGACAGGAGUCUGCAGAGAGAUACUGGGGAUAUUGAGCAGCAGCAAUGGGGUUGGGAGGCAGAAAUGAGGACAGGAACAUUUACCUUGUGUUUCUCUCAGCUUCUCAGAUGACCAAGAUGGUGCUGCCGAUGGUGUUGAGGACGGAGAACCCACCAAGCCCCGUUAGGAGCCACCUAGACUGGAUGCAGAGCACAGUGAAAAUGGAGGUUCCCUCCUCCUGAGGCUGAGUGUGGCUUCCCUGGAAGACCUCACUGACCCCAGAGUGGCAGAAAGGCUGAUGCAGCAGCUCCACCAGGAACUCCACGCCCAUGCGCCUCACUUCCAGGUCUCCUUACUGCACGUCAGGAGAGGCUAACAGACAUCAGCUGCAGCCAGGCAUGUCCCGUACGCCCAAAGAGAGUGCUGCCCCUGGCCUGGGCCCCCACCGACAGACUGCAGCUGCGUUACUGUGCUGAGAGGUACCCAGAAGGUUCCCAUGAAGGGCAGCAGGUCCAAGCCCCUGACCCCAGAUGUGGCAACAGGACCCUUGCUCACGUCCACCGGAGUGUAUGUGUGGGGAGGGGCUUCACCUGUUCCCAGAGGUGUCCUUGGACUCACCUUGGCACAUGUUCUGUGUUUCAGUAAAGAGAGACCUGGUCACCCA
rnacentral:lncRNA from 1 species